AUCACCUGGGGAUCUUGUUAAAUGCAGAUUCUGUCUCAGUAGGCCUGGACAGAGUCUGAGAUUCUGCAUUUCUAACAAGCUCCCAGGUGAUGCUCCU
rnacentral:pre_miRNA from 1 species